AUGGCCGCUAAACCGAAAAGUUUUCAUGAUAAUAAGGAUGAAGAUCUAAAAGUGAUUGUUGUGUCCCCUAUUAAAUCCUUGUUUUGCAAUAUGAAUCUUGAUAAUUAUGGGACUGGAGAUGAGUCAACAUUAGUUAGAAGGCGUCCCAAUGAUUCAAAGUUUUUAGAUCUUGAUGCAAAAAUUGGUAAAAGUGGGAUUGAAGAGGUUAAAACUUUAGAUAGCAACGAACCCACUAUCUUGGAUUUCAAGGAAUUUAAUUAUGAUAAUUGCUCUUUAAUAGAUUGUAUUUCUUUGUUGCAAUCCAUGCUAAAUUCUCCUCAUGCUUAUAGUCAAAAUAAAGCUUUUACUAAACAUAUCGUUGAUGCUUCGAUGCAAUCUUACAAAGAAAAAACUUGA
rnacentral:rRNA from 1 species